rnacentral:misc_RNA from 1 species
GUUGAAAUCAUUGCCGUUGGAGCACCUGCAGGGGGUGCUCUUGUUAUAAUUGACGAUGAUGGCCUUGAUAUGCACUAUAUGACACAGAUGCACUCUCUAGCACCUUUUGGGGCAGACUUAUUUUCUGAAGAUAGGGUAGAGGACAACAUGACAUGGAACUUUGUGGCUGGACUAACUGUUUCUCGAGAAAUACUGGAGAGUUAUGGAUGUGUUGUGCGGGUGAUUUCACCAAGAGUAACAGAUGCUGCAAUUGGAACCGGAGGAACCCGUAUAGAACUCUGGUUUCCCUCUUUUUCUGCUUCAUCUGUUGUAGAUGGCCCUUCUCACGAGGCUUAACAAAGAUUGAGGAUUCCACUGUCAUUUUUAUCUAGUUUUUAAAAGGCCAAAAACAUACAACAAAUUCCUGCUUAAUCCUUUGCAGAUCCUGAGAUGGAAAAUUUGAAAGACGAUCUACUUUAAAGAUUCAUCUAGUGACACAAAUCUGCCAAAUGACUAAUUUCCAUCCUACUGGGAUUGUGA